rnacentral:rRNA from 1 species
GAUGAACGCUAGCGGCAGGCUUAACACAUGCAAGUCGAGGGGUAUAGUUCUUCGGAACUAGAGACCGGCGCACGGGUGCGUAACGCGUAUGCAAUCUACCUUUUACAGAGGGAUAGCCCAGAGAAAUUUGGAUUAAUACCUCAUAGUAUGUGAGAAUCGCAUGGUUUUCACAUUAAAGUUCCAACGGUAAAAGAUGAGCAUGCGUCCCAUUAGCUAGAUGGUAAGGUAACGGCUUACCAUGGCGACGAUGGGUAGGGGUCCUGAGAGGGAGAUCCCCCACACUGGUACUGAGACACGGACCAGACUCCUACGGGAGGCAGCAGUGAGGAAUAUUGGACAAUGGGCGCAAGCCUGAUCCAGCCAUGCCGCGUGCAGGAUCGACGGUCCUAUGGAUUGAAACUGCUUUUAUUUGGGAAUAAACCUCUUUACGUGUAGAGAGCCUUG